UACAUUUGUGCUGUUAUCAGAUUAAAUAUUCUUUUUGUUUGUUUGUUUGUUUGUUUCUCGAGACAGGGUUUCUCUGUAUAGCCCUGACUGUCCUGGAACUCACUUUGUAGACCAGGCUGGUCUUGAACUCAGAAAUCCACCUGCCUCUGCCUCCCAAGUUCUGGGAUUAAAGGCGUGCACCGCCGCCACCACCACCGCCCGGCUUAAAUAUUCUUGUAUAACCACCAUUCUCCCUAUUGCUUUUGGAUGUCAAAUCCCUUAUCUUAUCUUUCGAGGUCUAACUAAGAUACUAUUUCAUCAGCUUAAACUUGGUCCAAAGUCCCUGUGCACCCAUGAUCAGAGCUCCUCACUAAAUCCUUAGAGCAGUUUGUCCAUCAUUCUUUGAGGAUUUUUUUUUUGAGACAAUACUUUCACUUAUGUACAAAUAGAGGAGUGUGGACCAGUCGGUGAGGGUACUGAGAAAAGUGUGGAAUAGCCUACACAAGCGGGAGGAGGCUAGUGGUAUGUGGGUGCUUACUUCCAUAAUCCCAAAAUAGAAACUGGUGCCAGAAAUCUCAAGGCUUUGGGUAAUUUUCUGAAAGAUGUGUCCUUGUUAUACACAUAGGGUUAAGAAAGAAUAAGCCUACCUUUUGUUUUUUUUCUGAAGCCUACAGAAGAAGAAUAAAAUGAAAACUCAAAUACUAUCAAGCUGAAGGCUAAGAGGGGGCUGAUUUCCUGGAAGCCAGGGCUGAGGACCAAGGAAGUGAUCAGACGGGCGCUAACACUCUUUCCCAAAUGGAGCUGAGAGCCAGCGGUUUCCUAUUACUGCAUCCAGGAGUGGGAGGUCCCUUCCUGUAAGCUACCUAGAAAGCAUUUCUGCUCUUAACUGCUCUAUUAGGAUAAUUUACAUUCAUGAUGAAUGGAACCAUUCCUUCCCGAAUUAGCCUGAGUGGCUCCAUCAAGGGCAGAUGUGAGCUGUUCUAUUUGCUGCAGAGAGCAGCGUUACAACACCGUUACCCUCCUUACGUCUGAGCCUGCUGCUUCUAGCUGCCCCUAGUAGCUUCCCCCAAGGAUUUUUUUUUUUUGACAAAACAAAUCUGAGCUUGCCCACAAUAAUAAUAAUAAUAAUAAUAAUAAUAAUAAUGUCUUAUACAUUAUUCAUUCAAUUAAGCAAGUUUCCUCUACAUUUGUGUUUUUAUCAGAUUAAAUAUUCUUGUAUAACCACUAUUCUUCCUAUUGCUUUUGGAUGUCAAAUUCCUUCUUAUCUUUCAAGGUCGUGGGCACUAAGCAGGACCUUCUGACAGGGAGAAAUAUGAAAUGCUGGAGUCAGAAAGAAGGAGUCACCUUCUCCCCAAGAGCCAUAGAAUCCCACGUUUUGGGUGGUGCUUAGAAGAGGUCAGAGCGGUUGCAGGGUGCAGGUCCCGAGUCUCCUAAAUCUUUCUUGCUCUUGAAAUUCCUCAACAUACCGGGCUCUUGUUUAUAUCU
rnacentral:lncRNA from 1 species